rnacentral:rRNA from 1 species
AUGGGGCACGAGAUGGUGGCAUCCAACGGCACCGGCAACGGCGGCGGCCGGAGGACGGCGAAGCCGCACGCCGUGGUGAUCGCGUACCCGUACCAGGGCCACGUCAUCCCGGCGGCGCACCUCGCGCUGCGCCUCGCCGCGCGCGGCUUCGCCGUCACCUUCGUCAACACCGAGUCCGUGCACGAGCAGACCGCGCGAGCCCUCGGCGUCGACCGCCACCGCUACGACAUCUUCGCCGGCGCGCGCGCCUCGUCGGACCACAAGGAGCCGCUCGACGUGCGGUACGAGCUGGUCAGCGACGGCUUCCCGCUCGGCUUCGACCGCUCGCUCAACCACGACCAGUUCAAGGAGGGCGAGCUGCACGUGCUCGCCGCGCACGUCGAGGACUUGCUCCGCCGCCUCGUCGUCGACCCGGCCUCCACCUGCCUCGUCGCCGACACCUUCUUCGUCUGGCCGGCGACUCUGGCCAAGAAGUUCGGCGUGCCCUACGUGUCCUUCUGGACCGAGCCGGCCCUCAUCUUCAACCUCUACUACCACAUGGACCUGCUCGCCGAGCACGGCCACUUCAACUCCUCCAAGGGCCCGCCGCGGAAGGACACCAUCACGUACGUCCCCGGCGUGCCGGCGAUCGAGCCGCACGAGCUCAUGUCCUACCUGCAGGACACGGACGCCACCACCGUCGUGCACCGCAUCAUCUUCAAGGCCUUCGACGAGGCCCGGCGCGCCGACUACGUGCUCUGCAACACCGUCGAGGAGCUGGAGCCGUCCACCGUCGCCGCGCUGCGCGCCGAGAAGCCCUUCUACGCCGUCGGCCCCAUCGGCUUCCCCCGCGGCGGCGCCGGCGGCGGCGGCGUCGCCACCUCCAUGUGGGCCGAGUCCGACUGCUCCCAGUGGCUGGACGCGCAGCCGCCGGGCUCCGUGCUCUACAUCUCCUUCGGCAGCUACGCGCACGUCACCCGGCAGGAGCUGCACGACACCGCGGCCGGGGUCCUCGCCAGCGGCGCCAGGUUCCUCUGGGCGAUGCGGCCGGACAUCGUCAGCUCCGACGACCCGAACCCGCUGCCCGAGGGCUUCGCGGCCGCCUCCGCAGGCCGUGGCCUCGUCGUGCCCUGGUGCUGCCAGGUGGAGGUGCUCGCCCACGCCGCGCUGGCCGGCUUCCUCACGCACUGCGGCUGGAAUUCCGUCCUCGAGAGCGUGUGGGCCGGCGUGCCCAUGCUCUGCUUCCCGCUGCUCACCGACCAGUUCACCAACCGCCGGCUCGUCGUGCGCGAGUGGCGCGUCGGCGUGCCCAUCGGGGACCGCGGCAAGGUGUUCCCCGACGAGGUGAGCGCCAGGAUCCAGGGCGUCAUAUCCGGCCAAGAGGGCAAAGAACUCCGCCAGGCGCUCAGGAAGGUGACGGCCAAGCUCAAGGCCGCCGCGGCGCCCGGCGGGUCGUCGCAGAGGAGCUUCGACGACUUCGUCGACGAGCUCACCCACCGUUGCGGCGGCGGCGGUGGACGUACAUUGAUGACCUAG